rfam:Canis lupus familiaris chromosome 3, whole genome shotgun sequence.
GCCUAGCUGGCUCAGUUGGUAGAGCAUGUGACUCUUGAUCUCAGGGUCAUGAGUUCAAGCCCCACAUUGGGCA